GAGACAGCAGUAGCCGCGGGAAUACGUAGGUGGCGAGCGUUGUCCGGAAUUAUUGGGCGUAAAGGGAGCGCAGGCGGACAUAUAAGUCCAUCUUAAAAGCGCGGGGCUCAACCCCGUGAGGGGAUGGAAACUGUAUGCCUUGAGUGCAGGAGAGGAAAGCGGAAUUCCCAGUGUAGCGGUGAAAUGCGUAGAUAUUGGGAGGAACACCAGUGGCGAAGGCGGCUUUCUGGACUGUAACUGACGCUGAGGCUCGAAAGCCAGGGGAGCGAACGGGAUUAGAUACCCCUGUAGUCCCUGUCUCUUAUACA
rnacentral:rRNA from 1 species